rnacentral:tRNA from 1 species
AGCAGUGUGGCGUAGUGGUUAAGGAGCAGGGCUUGUAACCGAGAGGUUGCUGGUUCAAUUCUUCACUGGGGCACUGCUG